GUAAGCCAGGCAGCCGCGUGGGCGGGAGGGAUUCCGCAUCAUGAGGAAAGUCCGGGCUCCGCAGGGCAAGGGUGCCGGAUAACGUCCGGUGAAGGUGACUUUAAGGAAAGUGCAACAGAAAACAACCGCCGCGUUUACGCGGUAAGGGUGAAAAGGCGAGGUAAGAGCUCACCGGCGGGCUGGUAACAGUCCCGCGUCAAUGUAAACCCCACCCGGAGCAAGACCAAGCAGGGAGGUAAUUGCAGGUUCGCCUGCACAAUGCCUGAAAGGCGGCUGCCCGUCGCUUCCCGGAAGGUAGGUCGCUGGAGCCUGUCAGCAAUGGCAGGUCGAGAUAGAUGGUUGCCAAAUACAGAACCCGGCUUACAGACUUGCUUA
rnacentral:RNase_P_RNA from 1 species